GACAGAGGUGCCAAGCGUUAGGCGGAAUCACUGGGCUUAAAGCGUGUGUAGGCGGGCGGCCAAGUCAGAGGUGAAAGCCCCCAGCUCAACUGGGGAAGUGCCUUUGAUACUGGUCGUCUCGAGGGAGAUAGGGGCGUGCGGAACUUCCGGUGGAGCGGUGAAAUGCGUAGAUAUCGGAAGGAACACCGGUGGCGAAAGCGGCGCGCUGGAUCUCUUCUGACGCUGAGGCGCGAAAGCCAGGGGAGCGAACGGG
rnacentral:rRNA from 1 species